rnacentral:tRNA from 1 species
GCUACUUCUGGAAGCGCGGCGACUUCGCCCAGGCCCUGAACCUGGGCGACUUCCUGGCCGAGUACUGGGAGGACGAGUUCGGGACCCAGGACCGGCA